rnacentral:rRNA from 1 species
AUGAACGCUAGCGACAGGCCUAACACAUGCAAGUCAGGGGCAGCACAAGGAGCAAUCUGAGGUGGCGACCGGCGCACGGGUGAGUAACACGUAUGCAACCUGCCUGUAAGCGGGGAAUAACCCGUUGAAAGACGGACUAAUACCGCAUAAUACUAAAUUACUGCAUGGUAAUUUAUUUAAACAUUUAUGGCUUACAGAUGGGCAUGCGCAUGAUUAGCUAGUUGGAGAGGUAACGGCUCCCCAAGGCAACGAUCAUUAGGGGUUCUGAGAGGAAGGUCCCCCACACUGGUACUGAGACACGGACCAGACUCCUACGGGAGGCAGCAGUGAGGAAUAUUGGUCAAUGGACGAGAGUCUGAACCAGCCAAGUCGCGUGCAGGAAGAAUGUUCCCUAUGGAUUGUAAACUGCUUUUGCAGGGGAAUAAAGUGCAUCACGUGUGAUGUUUUGUAUGUACUCUGCGAAUAAGGAUCGGCUAACUCCGUGCCAGCAGCCGC